AUAGGGGAGCCGUAGGGAAACCGAGUCUUAACCGGGCGUUAAGUUGCAGGGUAUAGACCCGAAACCCGGUGAUCUAGCCAUGGGCAGGUUGAAGGUUGGGUAACACUAACUGGAGGACCGAACCGACUAAUGUUGAAAAAUUAGCGGAUGACCUGUGGCUGGGGGUGAAAGGCCAAUCAAACCGGGAGAUAGCUGGUUCUCCCCGAAAGCUAUUUAGGUAGCGCCUCGUGAACUCAUCUCCGGGGGUAGAGCACUGUUUCGGCUAGGGGGCCAUCCCGGCUUACCAACCCGAUGCAAACUGCGAAUACCGGAGAAUGUUAUCACGGGAGACACACGGCGGGUGCUAACGUCCGUCGUGAAGAGGGAAACAACCCAGACCGCCAGCUAAGGUCCCAAAGUCAUGGUUAAGUGGGAAACGAUGUGGGAAGGCCCAGACAGCCAGGAUGUUGGCUUAGAAGCAGCCAUCAUUUAAAGAAAGCGUAAUAGCUCACUGGUCGAGUCGGCCUGCGCGGAAGAUGUAACGGGGCUAAACCAUGCACCGAAGCUGCGGCAGCGACACUGUGUGUUGUUGGGUAGGGGAGCGUUCUGUAAGCCUGUGAAGGUGUGUCGUGAGGCAUGCUGGAGGUAUCAGAAGUGCGAAUGCUGACAUAAGUAACGAUAAAGCGGGUGAAAAGCCCGCUCGCCGGAAGACCAAGGGUUCCUGUCCAACGUUAAUCGGGGCAGGGUGAGUCGACCCCUAAGGCGAGGCCGAAAGGCGUAGUCGAUGGGAAACGGGUUAAUAUUCCCGUACUUGGUGUUACUGCGAAGGGGGGACGGAGAAGGCUAUGUUGGCCGGGCGACGGUUGUCCCGGUUUAAGCGUGUAGGUGUGUGUUCCAGGUAAAUCCGGUUCACUUUAACACUGAGGCGUGAUGACGAGGCACUACGGUGCUGAAGCAACAAAUGCCCUGCUUCCAGGAAAAGCCUCUAAGCAUCAGGUAACAUCAAAUCGUACCCCAAACCGACACAGGUGGUCAGGUAGAGAAUACCAAGGCGCUUGAGAGAACUCGGGUGAAGGAACUAGGCAAAAUGGUGCCGUAACUUCGGGAGAAGGCACGCUGACACGUAGGUGAAGUGAUUUACUCA
rnacentral:rRNA from 1 species